rnacentral:snRNA from 1 species
GUGCUUGCUUCAGCAGCACAUACACUAAAACUGGAACAAUACAGAGAAGAUUAGCAUGGGCCCCGUGCAAAGAUGACAUGUAAACGUGUGAAGCAUUCCCUAUUUUG